UAGGGAAUCUUCCACAAUGGACGCAAGUCUGAUGGAGCAACGCCGCGUGAGUGAAGAAGGUUUUCGGAUCGUAAAGCUCUGUUGUUGGUGAAGAAGGAUAGAGGCAGUAACUGGUCUUUAUUUGACGGUAAUCAACCAGAAAGUCACGGCUAACUACGUGCCAGCAGCCGCGGUAAUACGUAGGUGGCAAGCGUUGUCCGGAUUUAUUGGGCGUAAAGCGAGCGCAGGCGGAAUGAUAAGUCUGAUGUGAAAGCCCACGGCUCAACCGUGGAACUGCAUCGGAAACUGUCUAUCUUGAGUGCAGAAGAGGAGAGUGGAACUCCAUGUGUAGCGGUGGAAUGCGUAGAUAUAUGGAAGAACACCAGUGGCGAAGGCGGCUCUCUGGUCUGCAACUGACGCUGAGGCUCGAAAGCAUGGGUAGCGAACAGGAUUAGAUACCCUGGUAGUCCAUGCCGUAAACGAUGAGCGCUAGGUGUUGGGGACUUUCCGGUUCUCAGUGCCGCAGCAAACGCAUUAAGCGCUCCGCCUGGGGAGUACGACCGCAAGGUUGAAAC
rnacentral:rRNA from 1 species